rnacentral:rRNA from 1 species
AAUCAACGCUGGCGGCGUGCCUCAGACAUGCAAGUCGAACGAUUAAAGCUCUCUUCGGAGAGUGCAUAGAGUGGCGCACGGGUGAGUAACACGUAAGUAAUCUACCUUCGAGUGGGGAAUAACGUCCGGAAACGGGCGCUAAUACCGCAUAAUGCAGCGGCAUCGCAAGAUGACAGUUGUUAAAGGAGCAAUCCGCUUGAAGAGGAGCUUGCGGCAGAUUAGCUAGUUGGUAGGGUAAUGGCCUACCAAGGCUACGAUCUGUAACCGGUCUUAGAGGACGGUCGGUCACACUGACACUGAAUAACGGGUCAGACUCCUACGGGAGGCAGCAGUCGGGAAUUUUGGGCAAUGGGGGAAACCCUGACCCAGCAACGCCGCGUGAAGGAUGAAGUAUUUCGGUAUGUAAACUUCGAAAGAAUAGGAAGAAUUAAUGACGGUACUAUUUAUAAGGUCCGGCUAACUACGUAG